rnacentral:misc_RNA from 1 species
AUAAGCGCCGUGCGCCUCAGUCGUGGAAAGUAGUUCAGUUCGACACGCAACAACACGCAACUACACCGAUUUACGGAUAAUAAUAGCAGCUGCCAAGCCGAGAAGCACGUCAUUACCGUCAUAAGUGACGUCACCGUCAUCAUGAUGACGUGGACGAUGCGCCUGACGCUGGUGGCCGCCGCCAUCACCGUCGUCGCCGGCGGCUGCCCCUUUCGUUUCAAAGCACACGGGGACAAAUGCUACUGGGUCUCCAGCGCCGAGAGCCUAUAUAAGGACGCCGUGCAUGAAUGUACCAGACUACACAAUGGCGCAACAAUGAUCACCAUUCAUGACGCCGAGGAGAAUGCAUUGUUAGCUCAAGAGGUGCUGGCUCAUAGAACUAGCUGGAUCGGUCUGUCCAGAGCCAACAGCUCAGCCCCGUGGACUUGGGUCGACGGGAGCCCGUACGACUUCAGUCUCUGGUACAUGGACGACGCCGACUACGUGGGCGGCGACUGUGCGCUGAUGAACUAUUACGAUGGCAUUUCGGGCCUAUGGGCAGGCCUUGAUUGUUCCGGAAAGUCCGAGUACUACGCGUGUCAAGUGGCAGCCACGUGAAAAACGUCACCUGUGUAGUUUCACAGAAAGUCGACACUUAUUAGCCAUCUUAGCUGCCAAUGUGUCAAAGUGUCUGUGUUUAUCAUCGGGAUAAGAUAAUGACUGAAAUUGUAUGUCGACAAAAAUACACAUCUCUCAAUGCACCCA